rnacentral:misc_RNA from 1 species
GCUGUCCCUGAGAUCGAGGCAAACAAACAGAUUGGUUACGUACGACGUGAUGAGCAAGGAAUGGUCGAAGGUUCCCGGGGUGCCUCGCGGGAGGAAGCGACAAUGGAUAACAUCAGGCACUGCAUUUUACCCUUGCCCGACUGCUGUGGCUUGACUUAGCUUCUGGUUGGCUCGGCAUACAUGUUCAGGGCGAGAAGUUCUCUCAUUGGAAAAAGCUUGUUGUUAACCUGUAAGCUUUAUUUCAUUCCACGCAAGCCUUUUUUGCUGCUGAUUUUCUUUUAUCUUGUAGUUUUGUAUUUGAUCAGUUAAGUUAGAUUUUCCCCAAAUUAGACUUCUUGGUUUUGGUGUAAAAACCUGUGUACAAAAUAACUUAAAAUGUCAAAAAGACAAAUUUAAG